rnacentral:rRNA from 1 species
CCUACGGGAGGCAGCAGUGGGGAAUAUUGGGCAAUGGGCGCAAGCCUGACCCAGCAACGCCGCGUGAAGGAAGAAGGCCUUCGGGUUGUAAACUUCUUUUCUGAGGGACGAAGAAAGUGACGGUACCUCAGGAAUAAGCCACGGCUAACUACGUGCCAGCAGCCGCGGUAAUACGUAGGUGGCAAGCGUUAUCCGGAUUGAUUGGGUGGAAAGGGCGUGUAGGCGGGAAGGCAAGUCAGAUGUGAAAACUCAGGGCUCAACCCUGAGCCUGCAUUCGAGACUGUUUUUCUUGAGUGUAGGAGAGGCAAGCGGAAUUCCGUGUGUAGCGGUGAAAUGCGUAGAUAUAAGGAGGAACACCAGUGGCGAAGGCGGAUUGCUGGACAGUAACUGACGCUGAGGCGCGAAAGCGUGGGGAGCAAACAGGAUUAGAUACCCUAGUAGUC